AGUUUUGCAAAAUUGGCAUAGCCCAAAACGCCAGGUCGAGGUGUAGCGAAUGAGAGGGGAAGAGAUGGGCUACAUUUCCUGAACCAGGACAUACGAACGUAUUACUGAAAACCGUAUCUGAAGGAGGAUUUAGCAGUAAGUAGAAACCAGAAUGUUCUACUGAAAUUGGCCCUGAAGCGCGCACACACCGCCCGUCACUCUCUCCAAAUCACAUUAAAAUAUUUUUUAAUAAUUACACAAAUUAAAGGUGAGGCAAGUCGUAACAUGGUAAGUGUACCGGAAGGUGUACUUGGAAAAUA
rnacentral:rRNA from 1 species